rnacentral:rRNA from 1 species
CAGUCGAACGAAGCACUUAUCUUUGAUUCUUCGGAUGAAGAGGUUUGUGACUGAGUGGCGGACGGGUGAGUAACGCGUGGGUAACCUGCCUCAUACAGGGGGAUAACAGUUAGAAAUGACUGCUAAUACCGCAUAAGACCACAGAGCCGCAUGGCUCGGUGGGAAAAACUCCGGUGGUAUGAGAUGGACCCGCGUCUGAUUAGGUAGUUGGUGGGGUAACGGCCUACCAAGCCAACGAUCAGUAGCCGACCUGAGAGGGUGACCGGCCACAUUGGGACUGAGACACGGCCCAAACUCCUACGGGAGGCAGCAGUGGGGAAUAUUGCACAAUGGGGGAAACCCUGAUGCAGCGACGCCGCGUGAGCGAAGAAGUAUUUCGGUAUGUAAAGCUCUAUCAGCAGGGAAGAAAAUGACGGUACCUGACUAAGAAGCACCGGCUAAAUACGUGCCAGCAGCCGCGGUAAUACGUAUGGUGCAAGCGUUAUCCGGAUUUACUGGGUGUAAAGGGAGCGUAGACGGCUGUGUAAGUCUGAAGUGAAAACCCGGGGCUCAACCCCGGGACUGCUUUGGAAACUAUGCAGCUAGAGUGUCGGAGAGGUAAGUGGAAUUCCCAGUGUAGCGGUGAAAUGCGUAGAUAUUGGGAGGAACACCAGUGGCGAAGGCGGCUUACUGGACGAUGACUGACGUUGAGGCUCGAAAGCGUGGGGAGCAAACAGGAUUAGAUACCCUGGUAGUCCACGCC